rnacentral:rRNA from 1 species
UACAGGGGGGCAAGCGUUGUUCGGAAUUACUGGGCGUAAAGGGUCUGUAGGUGGCCAACUAAGUCAGACGUGAAAUCCCUCAGCUUAACUGGGGAACUGCGUCUGAUACUGGAUGGCUCGAGUGUGGGAGAGGGAUGUGGAAUUCCAGGUGUAGCGGUGAAAUGCGUAGAUAUCUGGAGGAACACCGGUGGCGAAGGCGGCAUCCUGGACCGGCAUUGACGCUGAGGCGCGAAAGCCAGGGGAGCAAACGGG